rnacentral:rRNA from 1 species
UACGGAGGGUGCAAACGUUGCUCGGAAUCAUUGGGCGUAAAGCGCACGUAGGCGGUCCGUUAAGUCGGGAGUGAAAUCCCUCGGCUCAACCGAGGAAGUGCUUUCGAAACUGGCAGACUUGAAUACUGGAGAGGAUCGCGGAAUUCCCGGUGUAGCGGUGAAAUGCGCAGAUAUCAGGAGGAACACCGGUGGCGAAGGCGGUUCUCUGGGCAUUACCUGACGCUGAGGAGCGAAAGUGUGGGGAGCGAACAGG